rnacentral:rRNA from 1 species
CAGCCGCCAGGUAAAACGAAGGGGGCUAGCGUUGUUCGGAUUUACUGGGCGUAAAGCGCACGUAGGCGGAUCGAUCAGUCAGGGGUGAAAUCCUGGAGCUCAACUCCAGAACUGCCUUUGAUACUGUCGAUCUCGAGUCCGGAAGAGGUGAGUGGAACUCCUAGUGUAGAGGUGGAAUUCGUAGAUAUUAGGAAGAACACCAGUGGCGAAGGCGGCUCACUGGUCCGGUACUGACGCUGAGGUGCGAAAGCGUGGGGAGCAAGCAGGAUUAGAUACCCGAGUAGUCCCUGUCUCUUAUACA